GGUCUGGUAGUGGAAUGGUUAACACGUCUGCCACAUCUAUGUUGAAGUGAUAGAACAAAUUUACAGCAGGAGAUCCCUUGUUCGAAUCAAGGCUAGGCCG